rnacentral:rRNA from 1 species
UACAGAGGUCUCAAGCGUUGUUCGGAUUCAUUGGGCGUAAAGGGUGCGUAGGCGGCGCGGUAAGUCGGGUGUGAAAUCUCGGAGCUUAACUCCGAAACUGCAUUCGAUACUGCGGUGCUUGAGGACUGGAGAGGAGACUGGAAUUCAUGGUGUAGCAGUGAAAUGCGUAGAGAUCAUGAGGAAGACCAGUGGCGAAGGCAGCUCGCUGGGACGGUACUGACGCUGAGACGCGAAAGCGUGGGGAGCAAACAGG